UAUUUUAUGUUCUUAAUGUGGUAUUCUGUACGAUUGUUCACAGUCUAAAGGGUUAUUUUUGAGAAAUUUAUUAGAAUAUACUUUUAUCAAGUUAAAUAGACAUUUCUUGAUAGUUAAGUCAAAAUGUGGUAUGAAGUAUUACCGACAAUGACAAUAAUAUUAGCUGGUUUAGGAUUACCGCAUGUUGCUACACAUUAUUUAUGUAUAUAUUAUUAUGGCACUCCAGUACGUAGAUUGCUAUCGGAAGAAUGGGAUUUAAUUAUGUUUAUGAGAGACAAACGUUUGUGUGAUCAGCCAAUGAUUGCAGGGAAAAUGGGACUGGAGAAUAUACCUGAUGAUUGAGAAGUACAAAUAUCUAUGUAUGAUUUAUUUACCGAUCAAUUCGAGAAAUAGUAUCUUAGAUCUACUAUGUAAAUAUAAAUAUCUACUAUAAAAAAUAUAUAAAAAAAAAAGUA